rnacentral:rRNA from 1 species
UACGAAGGGGGUUAGCGUUGCUCGGAAUUACUGGGCGUAAAGCGCACGUAGGCGGCUUCUUAAGUCGGUGGUGAAAUCCUGGAGCUCAACUCCAGAACUGCCUUCGAUACUGGGGAGCUCGGAGUCCGGGAGAGGUGAGUGGAACUGCGAGUGUAGAGGUGAAAUUCGUAGAUAUUCGCAAGAACACCAGUGGCGAAGGCGGCUCACUGGCCCGGUACUGACGCUGAGGUGCGAAAGCGUGGGGAGCAAACAGGG